AAAAUCUCAUUUGCAGAGCAGACCCCAAAGGAUUGAUCCAUGGCUGCUGGAAGUCCUGUCCAUACUCCCACUGAGAACACUGCUGUUCUAUGUCAAGCAGGAGACAGCAAGGGAAAGGCAGGGUGGGCACCAAGCGUUCUCCUACAUGGAGUUGGGAUGGGCCAUCCAGACAGGGGACCCCAGCGCCCCUAGGGGAAACAGAGACUAGAAGCGAUGUUCCUCCUCGGAAGUCAUGGAAAGGCACUUCCAGAAGUAACCACAGUUUGUCCUUCCAGCUUAAAGCAAACAGAUUUAAGAAGCCUUAUUCUGCAGGUCUGCUGAGCAGGGGUUUACUGCAAGGUGGAAAAGCCCUGGAAAUCUCUGCUGUGCCACUACCAGACAGGGGUGUCCAAAGGGGAAGGACUUUGCCCUGGGCACGGUGCAACCCACGGCACAAGGGAGCCACGUCCUGCUCUGAGCAAUGCCCUUGCUGGCCCUGUUCUGCAGUACAGCACUCUCAUGAGCAGCCUUAGUGGAUUCCUUCUUACACAAGGAAUGCUUCCACCAGAACCUAAUGGAACCAACUGUUUUUGAGACAGAAGGAGAAGGCCUUGUUUUCUCAAGAACUAAAGAAAUACCUGAAAACACAUCCCACAUAGGAUGCGUUUGGGAUUUGGGACUUAUAAAAUGUAACACAAGUAGCAAAAACGUGCAGGGAGAAGUUAAUUCCGUUAAUUCCAGCUUUAAAUGGCCUAUCAGUGCAGUGUAGCAGUCACAGGGCUCUUACAAAAGUAGUCCAACUUUCUGAAUAAAUGACAAAUAUUGCAAACUUAUGCAUAAAAUGGACUUACAACAUGUAAAUGUCCAAGGCACUCUGUAUUUCUUCAUUUUCCUAUAGAAUUUUCUAAUGCUUUUAUAGCACAGGUCACAAUGCAGAAUAGCUAAAGAUCUGUGUGCUGAUUCUUACAUAGGAGCUUAGAGCCCUCCCAGCAUGGCAGAUGGGUAAGGUGAAUUUCCCCAGCCUUUGUCAUGUAUCAAAGAAAAAGAAAAAGGGGCAAAAUGCAUGCUAAAAUGCAUCUCAUAAAUCCAGUGCAAUGGAAAAUGCUUUGAGCUCCUGAUGAGAUGAAAUGGUUUUAUGGACAGGAAAUGAACAACAGAAUAAUAUCAGCUACUCCUUCUUCUCUUGCCUGGACACACCGAGAGCCAUCCGUUGACUUGCCUGUUUGACAACAAAUGGAAGCAAAAUAACUUGUUAUCGCAAUUAGGCUUGUUACGUUGGACAGUAAAAAGCUUAAGCGUGUUCUUCUUCAGUCUUGUGCAGAAGGAGGAGAAUCUGAAUCAAUUUCACAUGGUACCUUAUCUUCCAUUCACACAAAACCUCUUAUUUAUCACUAUUCAUUAACUCGUGGAGGCUCUUAGUGAUCCUGCAUGGCCAGCAAGGAGAGCGCUGUUGCUAUGGGUGGAAAAUUCAGUUUUGCUUUUCCUGAAGCUUCCUUGGAGUUGAGCCUGGAAAAGGGAUGUGACACCUUGAGGCACGCAGACACAAAUGGCUGCAAAUUGGUGUUAGUGUUGUCGCUUUGGGCCAUGAGAACCAUGUUAGGUCAUUGCUGCAGAAAACACGCUGCUUUUGAGAAUCACUGAAAAAGAAUAACCAGCCCGUGAAAAUUAAGAGCACCUGAUGUCUUAAUCACUGUGUGUUAUUCCAGGACAGGAGAACUGUGCUGCCAGCAGGAGAAUUUCACCUCCUGGACCUUUAUCCAGAAUCAAAUCAAAUUAGUAUGUGAGCCACUGAUGUGAGACAAGAUUAGCCAAAAAGCCGUUGUGUUUGCAAACUCCCAUUGCCUUUCCUGACAGCUCUUCAGCUCUGCAGUUUUUAUUUAUAACCUACGUGAAGGAGCAGGGAAAGCAAACAGCUUGUUUGGAAAUACUGGUGGAAAUGGAAGUGUGUGGCUUUGCUUGAGCCGUAUUAUCUUUUAUUUUGACUGUUAACUUUCUCUGAAUAGCCUAGUUCAUUAUGAAAUCUGCACGCUUAGUCAUUAAAAA
ensembl:lncRNA